rnacentral:rRNA from 1 species
AUUGAACGCUGGCGGCAUGCUUUACACAUGCAAGUCGAACGGUAACAGGUUAAGCUGACGAGUGGCGAACGGGUGAGUAAUGCAUCGGAACGUGCCCGAUCGUGGGGGAUAACGCAGCGAAAGCUGCGCUAAUACCGCAUACGAUCUGAGGAUGAAAGCGGGGGACCGUAAGGCCUCGCGCGAUCGGAGCGGCCGAUGUCAGAUUAGGUAGUUGGUGGGGUAAAGGCCCACCAAGCCGACGCACUGUAGCUGGUCUGAGAGGACGACCAGCCACACUGGGACUGAGACACGGCCCAGACUCCUACGGGAGGCAGCAGUGGGGAAUUUUGGACAAUGGGCGAAAGCCUGAUCCAUCAAUGCCGCGUGCAGGAAGAAGGCCUUCGGGUUGUAAACUGCUUUUGUACGGAGCGAAAAUGUCCUUUCUAAUACAAGGGGCUCAUGACGGUACCGUAAGAAUAAGCACCGGCUAACUACGUGCCAGCCGCCGCAGUAA